rnacentral:rRNA from 1 species
UACUGAGGGUGCGAGCGUUAAUCGGAAUUACUGGGCGUAAAGCGAGUGUAGGCGGUUGCCUAAGUCGGAUGUGAAAGCCCCGGGCUUAACCUGGGAAUUGCAUUCGAUACUGGGUGACUGGAGUUUGGUAGAGGUAAGUGGAAUUCCGGGUGUAGCGGUGAAAUGCGUAGAUAUCCGGAGGAACAUCAGUGGCGAAGGCGGCUUACUGGACCAAAACUGACGCUGAGGCUCGAAAGCGUGGGUAGCAAACAGG